rnacentral:rRNA from 1 species
UACGGGGGGGGGCAAGCGUUGUUCGGAAUUACUGGGCGUAAAGGGCUCGUAGGCGGCCAACUAAGUCGGAUGUGAAAAUCCCCCAGGCUUAACCUGGGAACUGCAUCCGAUACUGGAUGGCUUGAAUCCGGGAGAGGGAUGCAGAAUUCCAGGUGUAGCGGUGAAAUGCGUAGAUAUCUGGAGGAAUACCGGUGGCGAAGGCGGCAUCCUGGACCGGCAUUGACGCUGAUGAGCGAAAGCUAGGGGAGCGAACGGG